UGUACAGCUAGCAAAAUUUGGUUUUUAGGAUUUAUUGUUUUAAGACACUUCUCAAGUAUAUUGUGUACCUUGUUGUACAGCUGGUUUUGAUGAUAAUUGGGUCCAGUCAAAUUUGAUGUUGAAGUUAAUGUCCCUGAGUCUCUUGAUAUAUCCAGUCUAAAAGGAGAGGUGUACAACCAGGAGAAGUUGAACUACCAGAAGAAACUGGACCAGCACAACCUCAAGUUGAAAUUGGUGAAGGUGUAUUGUCACAGUUAGCCGAAUGGGAUUUGAAAUUGAGGGCUACAAGAGAGCUGUAUUCUGCACUAAGAACCAAGGCAGGUUCUCAUACCCUCAUACACUGGUACUGCCAUGAACUGGGUACUGGAACACAUGAGAGACCCAGAUUUUACAGGCCUCCUGGUGGUGUCAAGUUUGGAGUGGGUUGGGCUGAUAAAGGAGGUCUGGCUAGUGAGGGCUCUAUUGCUGUUGUAAUGUCACUGGGUUUCACUAGGGAACAGGCUAUGAAAGCUUUGAAAGCUAUAGAUAAUAUUAUAGAGAGAGCUGCUGAUUGAGUGUUCAGUCAUAUGGAUGAACUA
rnacentral:lncRNA from 1 species